UACGUAGGGGGCUAGCGUUGUCCGGAAUCAUUGGGCGUAAAGCGCGUGUAGGCGGUCCGGUAAGUCCGCUGUGAAAGUCGGGGGCUCAACCCUCGAAAGCCGGUGGAAACUGUCGGGCUAGAGUACGGAAGAGGCGAGUGGAAUUCCGCGUGUAGCAGUGAAAUGCGUAGAGAUGCGGAGGAACACCGAUGGCGAAGGCAGCCCCCUGGGCCAACACUGACGCUCAGGCACGAAAGCGUGGGGAGCAAACAGG
rnacentral:rRNA from 1 species